UUGAGCCGUAUGAUGCGAAAGUAUCACGUACGGUUCUUAGAAGAGGAGGAAGGGGUAACCCUUCCUUCUUAUUCGGC
rnacentral:ncRNA from 1 species